rnacentral:rRNA from 1 species
AUGAACGCUAGCGGCAGGCCUAACACAUGCAAGUCGAGGGGCAUCACGGAUUGCUUGCAAUCUGGUGGCGACCGGCGCACGGGUGCGUAACGCGUAUACAACCUACCUUUUGGAGGGGAAUAGCCCAGAGAAAUUUGGAUUAAUACCCCAUAGUAUAUAGGAAUCUCCUGAUUUUUAUAUUAAACAUUUAUGGCCAUUAGAUGGGUAUGCGUCCUAUUAGCUAGUUGGUGUGGUAACGGCACACCAAGGCUACGAUAGGUAGGGGUCCUGAGAGGGAGAUCCCCACACUGGUACUGAGACACGGACCAGACUCCUACGGGAGGCAGCAGUGAGGAAUAUUGGACAAUGGAGGCAACUCUGAUCCAGCCAUGCCGCGUGCAGGAAGACGGCCCUAUGGGUUGUAAACUGCUUUUAUACAGGAAGAAACCUUUCCACGUGUGGAGAGCUGACGGUACUGUAAGAAUAAGCACCGGCUAACUCCGUG